GAGGAAUAUUGGACAAUGGGGGGAACCCUGAUCCAGCCAUGCCGCGUGUGUGAAGAAGGCCUUAUGGUUGUAAAGCACUUUAAGCGAGGAGGAGGAGCUCUUGGUUAAUACCCAAGAUGCUUGGACGUUACUCGCAGAAUAAGCACCGGCUAACUCUGUGCCAGCAGCCGCGGUAAUACAGAGGGUGCGAGCGUUAAUCGGAUUUACUGGGCGUAAAGCGUGCGUAGGCGGCUUUUUAAGUCGGAUGUGGAAUCCCCGAGCUUAACUUGGGAAUUGCAUUCGAUACUGGGAAGCUAGAGUAUGGGAGAGGAUGGUAGAAUUCCAGGUGUAGCGGUGAAAUGCGUAGAGAUCUGGAGGAAUACCGAUGGCGAAGGCAGCCAUCUGGCCUAAUACUGACGCUGAGGUACGAAAGCAUGGGGAGCAAAC
rnacentral:rRNA from 1 species